AUUGCUUCUGGGCCUUUUGGCUAAGAUCAAGUAUAGUAGCUGUUGUCAGAUUAAUAUCUGCUACGUCCCCUAUCCGAGGACAAUAUAGUAAAUGAUUUUUGGAGCAGGGAGAUGGAAUAGGAGCUUGCUCUGUCCAAUUCACCCAUCCACGUGGUGUGGCAGUACUUCCAGGAACAGGUUACACCCCU